rnacentral:rRNA from 1 species
ACAGUCAAAUCACGCUGAAACACCGGUUCUCGUUCGAUCACCGAAGUUAAGCAUCGUAGAGCCAGGUCAGUACCUAGAUGGGGGACCGCUUGGGAACACCUGGUACUGUAAG